UUGAAUUGUGGUAUAACUGGGAUACCAAUUAUUUAAUAGAGUUCUUCUGGGCAUAGGAGACAUAGGUUGAGGAGUUUAAGUCAUAAUAAAUUUCUUAUUGGAUAAGGCGUUGACGCCGGGGACAUGUCAAAGACAUAAUCCCGAGGACACGUCGAAUGACGUUCCACAAAUUCUUGGAUCAAGAGCUCGGGCAUGUGAAAGACAUCCCGAGCACAUAUAUCCCGAGCAUA
rnacentral:lncRNA from 1 species